AUGAGAUUAAAAUUAUUAAAUAUAAUUUUAUCAAUAAUAAAUAAACUUAAUAAUAAUAAUAAUAUUAUUAUUAAUAAUCUAUUAGAUUCAUUAAUAAAUAAGAAAUUAUUAUUAAAGAAUAUAUUAUUAGAUAUAAAUAAUAAAAAAAUAAAUAAUAUAAAAAGAAUAUUAAAUAAUAAUAAUAUAAAUAUUAAUAAUAAAUUACAACAUUUAAAUAAUAUAAAUAAUUGAAAUCUACAAAUUUAUAAUUAUAAUAAAAAUAUAGAAAUUAUAAAUACUAUAAAUGAUAAAUUAAUUAAUAAAUUAUUAUAUAAAAUAAUAACUUUAAAAUUAAAUAAUAUAAAUAUUAAUAAAAUUAUUAUAAGUAAACUUAUUAAUCAACAUAGUUUAAAUAAAUUAAAUAUUAAAUUUUAUUAUUAUAAUAAUGAUAUUAAUAAUAAUAAUAAUAAUAAUAAUAAUAAUAAUAAUUAUUAUAUAAAUAUAAUAAAUAAAUUAAUAAAUAUUAUAAAUAAUAAUAUAAAUAAUAAUUUAUGUAAUAUUUUAAGUUAUUAUUAUAAUAAAAAAGUAACUAUUGAACCUAUUAAAUUAUCAUAUAUUUAUUUAAAUAGUGAUAUUUUUAGUAAAUAUAUUAGUUUAAAUGAUAUAGAUAAAUAUAAUAAUGGUAUCUUAACUAAUUAUCAACGUAUAUUAAAUAAUAUUAUGCCUAAAUUAAAUGAUCAUAAUAUUUCUAUAAAUUAUAUUAAUAAUAUUAAUAAUAUUAAUAAUAAUAAAUAUAAUAAUAUAAUUAAUUUAUUAAAUAAUAAUAAUAAUAAUAAUAAUAAUAUUAAUAAUAAUAAUAAUUAUAAUAAUUAUAAUAAUAAUUAUAUUGGUAAUAUUAAUAAUAUUUAUAAUAAUAUAACUAUUGAUAAUAUUCCUAUAGAUAUUUUAAUAUAUAAAUAUUUAGUUGGUUGAUCUAUUAAAUUUAAAGGUAGAUUAAGUAAUAAUAAUGGUAGAACUAGUACACUUAAUUUAUUAAAUGGUACUUUUAAUAAUAAAAAAUAUUUAUGAAGUAAUAUUAAUAAUAAUUAUAAAUUAAAUUAUAUCCCUUCUAAUCAUAAUUUAUAUAAUAAUUCUAAUAUUAAUAAAAAUGGUAAAUAUAAUAUUAAAGUUAAAUUAAACUUUAUUUAA
rnacentral:rRNA from 1 species